GUCUCCUUUUUUAAAUUAAAAAAGAAAGAAAAACCCCAAUAAUUGCCAUCUGCCACUUUCUUAGUAAACAUUGCGAUAUGUCAUGAACUCAAUUACACAGAUCACUGGGGUGUGGACAACUGGUUGCUGCGUUUUAAAAACAAGUGUUGAAAUAAAACUUUGCUUUAAGUGCAGCAAAUCCAUUACUGAAUGUCCAUCAAAGGAAGGGGCUCCUUUCAGCCAGCUCUGUGUGUUCCCUUACGUCAGUGGAAAACUGCCCAGUAUUUUUAGGCAUAAACAGCUGGAGAUAAUUCUUAAUUGCACAAUAGAUGAGACCGUGUAGUGACCUACAUCUGCUAGUUGAACAAGGAGAACAUCUUUUUAGGAUGGGAAACAAGUUACAAGUCCAGAGGCAACAUAUAUUGCAAAUAUAAGAGGUGAGUCAUGGUUAUGAUUCCUAAUUUAUGGUUCACAGGGCAUUGAAUCAUCUUCUAUAGAAAACCUACAGAAAUCUGCCAUCUUACACCAGAUUCUGAAGAAAUUUAAUCCUUUUUCAAAUUACUACUGGCAUCACUUUCAGCUGACACUUCAGGGCAGAGAAACUAAGCUGAUCCUACUUUUCCACCUGUGGAACUAAUUUCCUUUGGCUGAAGUCAGAGUUUACAGCUGGCUCCUUGCAGCACUUUGCACACACGCAGCACAGGGAAGCUCCCAAACCUCCCAGCUGCUGUGAGGGAAUAGGGGAAUGGGGGAAGGAAAAUGAGCUCAUCUGGGAUGAAGAUCAGUCCCUGUAUAAGCUUUCAGGUGCUCCCCAGGGACCCUUUCACUGGUGGGUUUGGAUGUGUAAAGGAGGCCUGGAGUCUCUCAGGUGUUUGUGGUGGCUCAGGGCUGGCUGUCAGGCAGACCUUGUGAGUUGUGUCCCUGCCUCUGGAAUACCACACAGGAGUGGAAACCUGGGAUUUCAACACAAAUUAUGAAGGUUUCUCUGUCAGCUUCUCUCCCCUCCCCUGCUGCUUUCCGUGCAGUUCCAAACCUUCUCCAGAUCCCUGCUCUGCAGAGGGUUAUCAGAGCUGGUCAUACCCCAGCCUGCCAGCCCUCCCUCUGCCAUCCUAGCAGCAAGCCCUCCUCUCUGACACGGUCACCUGCCCUGAUCCAUCCCCACGUUCUCUGCUGUGCCUGUCCUCCCCAUGUUCAGGGUGCCACAGCAGUGGAAGUGGUCUUACCAGGCCCUUGCAAAAGGACUAUUCUCUUUUUUUUUUUUCACCAUGAAUAAUUUAUGGAACAGAGCUACGUUAUCUGAUGAAAUUCUGAGAUUAUGUCCUCCUUCUUUCUCCUUUCUUCUUUUUCUUUCCUGUUUUACUUAUCAGGACAGUGCUGCCCAUUGUGGUUUGUCCUCCCUGUGGUUUUUUCAGCCCUCACCACCUUUGCCUGACUUGCUCAAGCACAUGUGGUUUAUUCUUCCCCUGAGCCACAGUUUCAGCAGCAGCCUAAGCCCUGCUGGGAGCCCCUUGGCAUCAUCGCUGUUGCUCCAUACAUGGCUGCCUGCAGAGCUCACAAUAAUCCCUGCAGGGAGCUGAUACACUCAGGACUCCUGUGGCAGCACCACCCGUGUGGGAGGUCUUCCUGAGAACAGAGCUGGCUGCAAUUCCCUGCUCCUAUGAAGCUACAGCUUGGAAGAAUGAAUUUUGACUGUUUCUGCUGCUUCAUUCAAGGGACUCUGUUUCUCCAGAAUGACAUCCUCCUAGUGUUGUGCUACUGGGAAAUGUCACUGCCAUGUAUGACUCCUUUUAAAAUUUGCUUUAAAGUCAGUACUUCAGCAAUAUUUUCCUACUUUCAUGAAUGACCCAGUUAGCCUUGUUUACACAUGAUGAAUUUGUAUUCAAAUUUGUAUCCAGCUUACCUGCUGGAUGAUGGGCUGAGGAUUGAAUAAAUUAUAUUAUUAUGGCCAUUUUAAAGAUGAGUCUCCGUCCCUUUACCACUUGUACAUUGCCCAAGUGUGUUGGAGGUGCUUGAUAGAAAAUGCUCAGUUCAUUUAGAUGUUGCAUGCCUGAGGUUUGACAACCAUUUUUAGCCUCUUAG